ACUAAGGUGGCAGAGCCCGGUAAUUGCAAAAGGCCUAAGCCCUUUCCACCGAAGGUUCAAUUCCUUCCCUUAGUU
rnacentral:tRNA from 1 species